rnacentral:rRNA from 1 species
GACGAACGCUGGCGGCGUGCUUAACACAUGCAAGUCGAACGGUAAGGCCCUUCGGGGUACACGAGUGGCGAACGGGUGAGUAACACGUGGGUGAUCUGCCCUGCACUUCGGGAUAAGCCUGGGAAACUGGGUCUAAUACCGGAUAGGACCCUGGGAUGCAUGUCCUGGGGGUGGAAAGCUUUUGCGGUGUGGGAUGGGCCCGCGGCCUAUCAGCUUGUUGGUGGGGUGAUGGCCUACCAAGGCGACGACGGGUAGCCGGCCUGAGAGGGUGACCGGCCACACUGGGACUGAGAUACGGCCCAGACUCCUACGGGAGGCAGCAGUGGGGAAUAUUGCACAAUGGGCGCAAGCCUGAUGCAGCGACGCCGCGUGAGGGAUGACGGCCUUCGGGUUGUAAACCUCUUUCAGCACCGACGAAGCGCAAGUGACGGUAGGUGCAGAAGAAGGACCGGCCAACUACGUGCCAGCCGCCGCCGUAA